rnacentral:rRNA from 1 species
AUAUCCUACGGGGGGCAGCAGUGGGGAAUAUUGCACAAUGGGGGAAACCCUGAUGCAGCGACGCCGCGUGAGUGAAGAAGUAUUUCGGUAUGUAAAGCUCUAUCAGCAGGGAAGAAGAAGGACGGUACCUGAGUAAGAAGCCCCGGCUAACUACGUGCCAGCAGCCGCGGUAAUACGUAGGGGGCAAGCGUUAUCCGGAUUUACUGGGUGUAAAGGGAGCGUAGACGGCGAAGAAAGUCUGAAGUGAAAGCCCGCGGCUCA